UAGGGAAUCUUCCGCAAUGGACGCAAGUCUGACGGAGCAACGCCGCGUGAGUGAAGAAGGAUUUCGGUUCGUAAAACUCUGUUGUUAGAGAAGAACAGCGCAUAGAGUAACUGUUAUGCGUGUGACGGUAUCUAACCAGAAAGCCACGGCUAACUACGUGCCAGCAGCCGCGGUAAUACGUAGGUGGCAAGCGUUGUCCGGAUUUAUUGGGCGUAAAGCGAGCGCAGGCGGUCAAUUAAGUCUGAUGUGAAAGCCCCCGGCUCAACCGGGGGGGGUCAAUGGAAACUGGUUAGCUUGAGUGCAGAAGAGGAGGAUGGAAUUCCAUGGGUAGGGGUGGAAUGGGUAGAUAUAUGGAGGAACGCCAGUGGCGAAGGCGACUCUCUGGUCUGUAACUGACGGUGAGGUUCGAAAGGGGGGGUAACAAACAGG
rnacentral:rRNA from 1 species